AAUGAACGUUGGCGGCGUGGAUUAGGCAUGCAAGUCGAGCGCGAUAUGUAGCAAUACAUGGAGAGCGGCGAAAGGGAGAGUAAUAUGUAGGUAUCUACCCUCGGGUCUGGGAUAGCAGCGGGAAACUGCUGGUAAUACCAGAUAACGUCUCCGGACCAAAGGUGUGAUUCCACCUGAGGAGGAGCCUACGGCCUAUUAGCUAGUUGGUAGGGUAACGGCCUACCAAGGCAAAGAUGGGUAUGGGGUGUGAGAGCAUGCCCCCACUCACUGGGACUGAGACACUGCCCAGACACCUACGGGUGGCUGCAGUAGAGAAUCUUCGGCAAUGGGCGAAAGCCUGACCGAGCGACGCCGCGUGCGGGAUGAAGGCCUUUGGGUUGUAAACCGCUGUCGUAGUGGAGGAAAUGUAGGAGAGUUAUCUCUUUUACUUGACUAAUACUAGGAGGAAGGACCGGCUAAUCUCGUGCCAGCCGCCGCGGUAACAC
rnacentral:rRNA from 1 species